rnacentral:rRNA from 1 species
UACAGAGGUCUCAAGCGUUGUUCGGAUUCAUUGGGCGUAAAGGGUGCGUAGGCGGCGCGGUAAGUCGGGUGUGAAAUCUCGGAGCUUAACUCCGAAACUGCAUUCGAUACUGCCGUGCUUGAGGACUGGAGAGGAGACUGGAAUUUACGGUGUAGCGGUGAAAUGCGCAGAUAUCUGGAGGAACACCGGUGGCGAAGGCGGCAUCCUGGACCGAGACUGACACUGAGGAGCGAAAGCCAGGGGAGCAAAGCGGG